CCUACGGGCGGCAGCAGUGAGGAAUAUUGGUCAAUGGACGAGAGUCUGAACCAGCCAAGUAGCGUGCAGGAUGACUGCCCUAUGGGUUGUACACUUCUUUUAUAUGGGAAUAACACAGCUUAUGCAUACCCCUUUGUAUGUACCAUAUGAAUAAGGAUCGGCUAAUUCCGUUCCCGCAGCCGCGGUAAUACGGAGGAUCCGGGCGUUAUCAGGAUUUAUUGGGUUUAAGGGCAGCGGAGGUGGAUUGUUAAGUCAGUUGUGAAAGUUUGGGGCUCAACCGUCAAAUUGCAGGUGGAACUGGCAGUCUUGAGUACAGGAGAGGUAGGCGGAAUUCGUGGUGUAGCGGUGAAAUGCUUAGAUAUGACGAAGAACUCCGAUUGCGAAGGCAGCUCACUGGACUGCAACUGACACUGAGGCUCGAAAGUGUGGGUAUCAAACAGGAUUAGAUACCCGGGUAGUC
rnacentral:rRNA from 1 species